CGCGGGCACUGCUGGUGGAUGGCCCGGGGGAGUCCCGAGACCGACACGCUGCGGGUCCCCGUCUCGACCCCGAGCCCUCUUAGAGCGCCUCUGUGACCUGUGGGCACUCUUUGUCGGUGAUUGCCGGGAGGGCGGCGGGGACAUAGGUACCACACUGGAAGCGAGCGGGCAAGCCACUUUUGCCUCUGGGUAAGCCCGAAGACGCUGGUCCCGGGACCCUAGACGGGUCUUCGUUCCAUCGACUCUUUUCAGCCCUCCUUGAUCCCGCCCGCACCCUCUGCCCGGGGCCGCACUCUUCACUUCGGCUCCCAUCCGCUCUAGGGAGCCUAGGUGUCCCUGGGCUCCACCCUGUCCCUCCCGGGACCUCUCUCCCUUCACACCCUUCCCCCACCCUGGAGGCCCGGCUGGACACGACCCAGAGUUGCCACCGCCCGCUUCUGCCACUCAAUGGAGGACAGUCUGCUGGAGAUCAUGACCAAGGACGGCGGCGACACGCCGGCGCCUCUGGAGGUGUCCACGGUGCCAGCCGUGGGGGACGUGAUCUCUGGGGAGUAUAACGGUGGUAUGAAGGAACUGAUGGAGCACCUGAAGGCGCAGCUGCAGGCCCUGUUUGAGGACGUGAGGGCCAUGCGAGGGGCACUGGACGAGCAGGCCUCGCACAUCCAGGUUCUGUCGGACGACGUGUGCGCCAACCAGCGGGCCAUAGUCUCCAUGUGCCAGAUUAUGACCACUGCGCCCCGCCAGGGAGGCUUGGGCGUGGCCGGCGGCAAGGGGAGCUUCCCGAGUGUUCCCCAUGACCCAGACACACCUUCGCCUGGGAUCGGGGACAGCGGCUUACUGAGUCGCGAUCCUGAUGAAGAGGAAGAGGACGAAGAGGAGGAGAAAGAGAUGCCUACCCCCGCCACACCCACCAGUCACUGCGAGCGCUCUGAGAGCCCUGGUCUCCUUGGGGAGGAUGGGCCACUUGUGGAGCCCCUCGACCUGCCUGACAUUACCCUGCUGAAGCUGGAGGGCGAGGCCUCUCUGUCAGGGAGAGAAGAGACUCCCUCAAAGAAGGAUUUGUAGAGUGAAGGACUUUGGAAGCAUCGUGAAUUCCACCCAACCAGACAUCAUAGCAAACUGCAGAAAGAUCUCUCUGCAGCUGCCGAUUGGUAAAGGAAGCUCGAGGAGGGGACUGCAGCCCUAGGAAUCGGGGUACAUGGGUUCCCAGGGCCCCCGGGGCUGGGAGGAGCUGGCUAUGAUGUUCGUGAAGGAAAACACACGGAACCUGCCCCGUCACUGACUUUAUCUAGGAUUGCUUUGCCACUCACCUGGGCCUAGAGAACAAAGUGCUCGGGUCACAGGCAGAGACUUGGGAUUGCUCAGCAAUAGUCCAGAUUUAGGGGAUGUCUGAGGGACUCUGGGGGUGGGGGUGGGGGCACUGCAGCCCAACACUGUCUUUUCUGGUUAUACCUGCUUAACUUCAGUUCCUGUUUUUCUGUCAAUAUGUCAGUACACUCUGCUUUUUGGUGUCGCCUCCAUAAUGUCUUGUGUUAUGUGUGUCCACUUGUGUAGUAGUGUGUGAGCCCUCAGGGGCAGGGCUUGUGGCUCUAGUAUUAGGUUCAGGGGGCUCCAGACCCGUCUUCGAGCCCCAGGCUGUCAUGGCGCUUUCCGCUCUUUUCCCCUUUGCCCCAACUCCUCAACCAGGGCAUGGAGCAUGUGGCUGUCCUGAGAGGUUCCUUAACCGGUGUGCCCUCCCUCCUACCUUCUGAAGUGGUGACUGUGUGUGCCCCUCCCCCUCUGUGUAUGCUUUCUCAAUGCUUUGCUUGAUGUCAACCUUAAUAAAAGGACAUCAUCUCCCCUC